GCCGGGGUGGUGAAAUUGGUAAACACAGGGGACUUAAAAUCCCCCGGGCUCACGCCCUUCUGGGUUCAAGUCCCAGCCUCGGCAC
rnacentral:tRNA from 2 species